rnacentral:rRNA from 1 species
GGCGAGGCGGUGCCUAACACAUGCAAGUCGUGCGGGAAAGUGGGGGCAACUCCACAAGUACAGCGGCGCACGGGUGAGUAACACGUAGGUAACCUACCUUUGGGACCGGAUAACCUGUCGAAAGAUGGGCUAAUACCGGAUAAGACCACGAGGGUUGCGGCUCUCGAGGUAAAAAGUGGCCUCUGCUUGCACGCUACUACCUGAAGCUGGGCCUGCGCGCCAUUAGCUAGUUGGCGGGGUAAUGGCCCACCAAGGCAAAGAUGGCUAGCUGGUCUGAGAGGAUGGCCAGCCACACUGGGACUGAGACACGGCCCAGACUCCUACGGGAGGCAGCAGUGGGGAAUAUUGCGCAAUGGGCGAAAGCCUGACGCAGCGACGCCGCGUGGGUGAUGAAGGCCUUCGGGUCGUAAAGCCCUGUCGGGAGGGACGAAACCUUGGCGACCUAACACGUCGCCAAUCUGACGGUACCUCCUAAGGAAGCACCGGCUAACUCCGUGCCAGCAGCCGCGGUAA